AUGGAGUCACAUGCACACCGUGCCAGCCCAGACGAACUUUACCGGUUGCUCCUUGAGCCUGAUUUUGCGUGUCACGCCAUUGCAGGGGAAAAUACCACAAGAAUCAUGUCAAUACAAAGGCAAUUCAUCGGAAAUGAAGUGAAGUGCAACAUCGCAAACUGUCGGAUGGUUACAAUCCCCGCCGUCAUGCAACAUGGUUGGUGCUGCUUCAACUGGGACAUGAUGGCCCACGUGAUAACCAUAAUGGACCCAAUGGCAUACCAGACAGAGGACACAACAAGGAAAACUUGCCUUAUGUACGAGGCCGACAAGAUACAUGACGCUCUUUUUGAUUGCAUUGAAGAAUUCUUCACUGAGUGGCACUGCAGCAGACAUUCAUGGACGAAGAAGACACCUCUAUUGUCUACCACAACAUUCACAAGGUACGCAUGUUGA
rnacentral:rRNA from 1 species